GACGAACCGUGCGAACGUUAUUCGGAAUCACUGGGCUUAAAGCGCGUGUAGGCGGCCCGGCACGUCCGUCGCUGAAAUCCCCCGGCUCAACCGGGGAAGUGGCGUGGAUACGACCGGGCUGGAGGGGGGUAGGGGGAGCCGGAACUUCCGGUGGAGCGGUGAAAUGCGUUGAGAUCGGAAGGAACGCCCGUGGCGAAAGCGGGCUCCUGGACCCCACCUGACGCUGAGACGCGAAAGCUAGGGGAGCAAACAGG
rnacentral:rRNA from 1 species